rnacentral:tRNA from 1 species
AUGGGGUUGUGGCUCAAUGGUAGAGAGCUUGCCUAGCAUGUAUGAGGCACUGGGUUUGAUUUCCAGUAUCACAUA